rnacentral:rRNA from 1 species
AUGGGGUGCAGCAGGCGCGAAAACUCUGCAAUAAGCGAAAGCUUGACAGGGUUAUUCUGAGUGAUUUCCGCUAAGGAAAUCUUUUGGCACCUCUAAAAAUGGUGCAGAAUAAGGGGUGGGCAAGCCUGGUGUCAGCCGCCGCGGUAAUACCAGCACCCCGAGUGGUCGGGACGAUUAUUGGGCCUAAAGCAUCCGUAGCCGGUCCUGCAAGUCCUCCGUUAAAUCCACCCGCUCAACGGUUGGGCCGCGGGGGAUACUACAGGGCUAGGAGGCGGGAGAGGCAAGCGGUACUCGAUGGGUAGGGGUAAAAUCCACUGAUCCAUUGAAGACCACCAGUGGCGAAGGCGGCUUGCCAGAACGCGCUCGACGGUGAGGGAUGAAAGCUGGGGGAGCAAACCGGAUUAGAUACCCGGGUAGUCCCAGCUGUAAACGAUGUAGACUCGGUGAUGGGCUGGCUUCGUGCCAACCCGGUGCCGCAGGGAAGCCGUUAAGUCUGCCGCCUGGGGAGUAUGGUCGCAAGACUGAAACUUAAAGGAAUUGGCGGGGGAGCAC